UGUUAGCACUGUGUUUGUUCUAUCACUUAGUUCGGUCCUAAAUAUGACAGUUCAUGCACAGAUUUUGAUUAUAAUUCACUAUGUUUGUUCUAUCACUUAGUUUGGUCCUAAAUAUGAUAGUUCAUGCACAGAUUCUGAUUAUACUUCACUAUGUUUGUUCUAUCACUUAGUUUAGUCCUAAAUAUGAUAGUUCGCGCACAGGUUACUACGAGUAUCUAAACUUGAUCACUACGGAGAGAAAAAAAAAAACACUUAGCGCAUCCUACCGACUGCGCCAAAAACGACCGGGACUUUCUUUUUAGAGUUUUUAAAAAAUGCGUCGAUUCGAUUCGGUCGUCUAAUUGAAACUGAUUUCUUUAUUCAAUUAAAAAUGGAAUGGUGCUCCUGAUGUUCUGCUGCUUCCGCAAAUUUGUUUGUUGUUGACCGGAUGUGUUCUGCUUACUUCGGCGGUUGUGUGCACGCGUGGCUGAGUUGUUGACGCCGCGAUAAUAUCCAGGUCGCCGCUGGAAUUUGAUGGUGCGUCGGACUGCGAUGUUUCGCGGGCGAUUUUGCUGACGGUGUUUAUCGAUUGGGUUGUCUCGAUUUGUGUAGGGCCAGAAUGGGCCGUAACUUAUAUAUAUAUAUAUAUAUAUAUAUAUAUAUAUAUAUAUAUAUAUAUAUAUAUAUAUAUGAACAAUUUUCCUUUAUUCUAUUGUUAAUAAGGUAGAAAACCGAUUUCUCGCGGUAGACUUGAGUUUAGAAGGGUGACCUAUUUUUAUCAGGAUCUGGAUUGGAUAUAAGGAUAUGUUGACAAUGUUCACACUCACACUCUCACUCACACUCAUCACACUCAAUUCUUAAACCUAUCUUAUAACCAGGGCCUGACAAUUUCACUUCAAUUAGCACAUCGUCACUCAAUAAUGUGUCUAUCGCUUCUCAGAACAGAACCAGAACCAUGCAGGCUAAAAAUAUAUCUAUUCUCUUUUCACGCACAAUAAGAAAAACAUCUCGUCUCUUUCGUACAUAUUCCUUUCAUUUCACGUUGAUUCCUUUCAUUCUGCAAACCAAAGCGACGUUAAAAAUCGUCACUUGGAAAUUAAUUUGAAGCAUCCAUGUAUUCUGGUAUAGAAAGGAAUGUUUCCUUGUUGCAUUCGAAACUUAUUCACUGAAACUAAUGAAAACGGUGCAGUGAGGGUUGUGUAAUAUGCCUGCAGGAGUAAUUAUUUACCGGCGCUAGUUGUCAGUGUGAAAUUAGUGAUGAAACGGAUAGUGGUUUGGUCGGAUACUGGAUACCGGUCAGCUUCGAGUCCGAAUAACCGAGUAUUCGACAGCCCGAUGUUUGUGUUUGUGCUUGUUUGUGUGCGUGCACGUGUAUUUGUGUAUGUUCGCGCGUUUUUUGGAUGUUUGUGUGCGUGUGUGCGCGUGCGUUUGGGCGUGUUUUUUUUUGCUUGCAUGCAGGUGUGCGAUUUUUUUAUGCGCGGGCAUGUGUAGGCGUGUUUGCGCGCAUUUGUGCGUGUUUCUGUGCGCGUGUGUACGUGCGUUUGCGCGUGUUUUUUUCUUGCUUGUGUGCAGGUGUGCGCGUUUUUUUGUGCAUGGGCAUGUGUGGGUGUGUGUGCGUACGUGUGCACGUAUUUGUGUGCGUGUGUGCACGUGCGUGCUCGAUUCUUUCCGUGCGUGCGUCUGUGCGUGUGCACGUUUGUGCGCGUGUAUGUGCUUGUGUGUGCGCGUUUGUGCGCACCUGUGCGUCCAUUUGUAUGUUUGUGUGCGCUCGCGUUUUUAUGCACAUGUUUGUGCAUGUUUGCGCGUGUGUGUGCGUGUUCGUGCACCCAAUGGUAUGUGCGUGCGCGUGCUUCCGGCGUUGUGUAUGCGCUCUAGUCGAAAAUCGCGUAAUUUCGAGCAAAUCGUGUAAAAAAAUCGCGUAAUUUCAAGCAAAUCGCUUAAAAAAAUCGCGUAAUUUUGAGCGAAUAGCGUAAAAAAUAUCACGCAAAAAACGCAUAAAAAAGAAUCCAGCGUACUUGCAAAUAACAUGCUUUUUCGUAACAUGGAAUACAUGUUUGAUACAGGAAAUAUAAUAAAAUGAAGACAGCUAAAUGAAAUUUUAUUACAUUUUCUGUAACAAACAUGUAUUCCAAAUAACAGAGAAACAUGUUAUUUACAAGUGAUUGAAGAAUUUUGAACACGGUCCGCGACGAUCCAUUUUGGUAAAAUAAAACUUACGUUUGAAAGCAGCAAGCAUCCUCUAACAUGCGAAAUGAAAAUAAAUAUAACCCGUUCAAGCAGUUUUAAUCGUCAGUGAAAGCUUCUGCUUUUAUACUUGUAAGAGAACGAAAGGGGAAAGGAACGAAACAAAAGAAUCAAUGUUACUGUAUGCGUAGAGAACAUUUCGUUUCCACUUCACCCCGAUACACUGAAAUUAAUCCACCGAAAAUGAAUGUAGUGGAAGUGAGAGUUGUAUGAAUAAAAUUCAAUCACAUUUAUUAGCUUCGAAAAUAACUAGCCCUGCUUAUAACUACUAUGUAUUUACAUUUCAACUAAAUACAGAAAAGUCAUUAUAUUUAGUUUAUAUCAAUACACAUGACGUUAGACCAGCGAUACUCAACCUGCGGCCCGGCAGACUUUCUGAUUGGCCCAUCUGGUGUGUAUGAAGUUUGGAACUCAUACAUAUAAGUACUUUUGCCCUGACAUCAUUGCAGACGGAAGAGAGGAUACGAUUAUUCACAAUUAAUGAAAAAUUGCUUCCACUGCAGAUAGGGAAAAAUCUUGAACGAAAAUUGUCUCUGAUAAUUAUUUUCUGUUAUGGAUAAGAUUGUUUUGCUGAAAUUCAAGGAGAUUUAUAGAAAAAUAGUUAAGUUAGGGUCAGGACUAUGUCUUCUAAGUAUUUAAACAACAUCGAAUAACAAUUUUUAUUCUAUUUUCAACAACUUACAUUUGCUUUCGAGUCUGCUUAUGACGAAAUAUGGGUUACUGUUCGAUAUUGUUACCACAGACAUGGUUCAUGGCCGUGUAGUGAUCUAAAACUUGUAUAGCCUUGCAUGGCGGAUGGAAAAUAUACACUGCAUUUUCUUAUAAAUUUCACCAACGACAAGACCGCAAGCCUUGGUUGAUGUCCAACAUAUCAACGAAGAAAUACUGAUUUUUAUAAAAAUUAACAACUCGUAUGUAUGUGUAGAUCGUUGAAACAUUUAAACACACUUACAACACAUAAGUUAUUUUUUAUUUUACAAUUAACAUAUUCACUAGAAAUAUAUUUUAUGACAGAACAACGUUUGCUGGAUAUAUAUACAGCCAUUCCAUGCAAAAUCGAUAUAGUGGUUCUCAGAUUUUCGUCAAAAGUGGUAAUUUUGUUUUCUAUCGCAAAACAUUAGACCCGUAUUUAUUUUUUCAGUAGGGUGCCCAUUUCCAUUUUAGGGCGGUCCGAAAAAUCUUUUUUUCCACUUUUUCCCAAAAAUCACAAAUGAAAAUCAUAACUCUUGAAUCACUGAACUGAUUUAGAUAAUCGACAUAUAAAAUUGAAACUAAUGACCUAGCCUUUAAUUGAAAAAUAUUUAACUUGCGAAAAAAAAUAAUUAUAUUUUAGUAAUUAUUGAUUGUAGUCGUUUUUAAUUUUUUUAUGACUUUGGACUAGAGGGCGCUAUAUUUUUUAAUAUUUUUUCUUGAAAGCUGGAAUUUUUUACAUAACAUAUCUCGAUAUCAGAGAUGCUAUUUUUUCGUUUUUUAGAUUUGAUUUGAAAAAUCAUUUUUACCCCUUUGCCCAAAUAUAACUUUCUGCAAAAAAUCAUAACAUUUGAAUUACUGAAGCGAUCUAGAUGAUCGAUAUAUUAAAUUUAAGCCAAUAAGCAAAAUUUGGAAAAAUAUCACACUUUCGGGGAGAUUGGAUUUUAGUCGCAUAGGUCUAGUUUAGUCACAUAGGAAUAUUGAUCGAAGACUUAAAACAUAUUAAAUUUACAAAAUAUAAUUUAAAAACGAUAAUUAUAGUAUCUCUGAUAUCGAGAUAUGUUAGGUAAAUAAUCCUCAGCUUUCCAUAAUAAAUAUAAAAAAAAUAUAGCGCUCCUAUCUUUAACCGAGAAAACUAUGAAAAACUAACUCAAUCAAUAAUUACAAAGUUUCGCAAAAGUAAUAUUUUUUCAAAGAAAAAUAACUCGUAAGCUUUAAUUUGAUAUGUCGAUGAUAUGAAUCGGUCCAAUAGUUCAAAAGUUAUGACUUUUUGUAGUGGGAUAUUUUAUGUAAAAAAGCUUUCAAGAAAAAAAUAUUAAAAAUUUAGCGCCCCCUAGUCCAAAGCCAUGAAAACAUUUAAAAAACGACUACAAUCAAAUAUUACGAAAAUAGCAAGUUCAAUAUUUUUCAAUCAAAGCUCAUUGGCUUCAAUUUGAUACGUCGAUCAUCUAAAUCGGUUAAGUGGUUCGAAAGUUAUAAAUUUUUGAAAAAAGUCAUUUUGUGAAAAAGUGGAAAGAAAUUGAUUUUUUGGAUCACCCUAAAAUGGAAAUGGGCACCCUAAUGAAAAAAUAAAAAAUACGGGUCUAAUGUUUUACGAUAAAGAACAAAAUUACCACUAUUGACGAAGAUCUGAGAACCACUGUAUUGGUUUGACAUGGAAUGGCUGUAUAUAUAUACAAAAUACAAUCUUACAUUCAUCGCGAUGUACAAAGUAUUAAUUAAUAUGUGAAAAUUAACGUUAAAAGACAUUUCUAUAGGUCUGCACACUUUUACAGACUUUUCCACAUUUUUCACAGACAUUCACAUGUUUUUAAAAAUCAUCUGGCAUCUCUUCCUUCCACUUUUUAUCGAAUAUUUUCAAAUCGCAGGUGUAAACAUGUACGUGACUCUGACUUCGUUUGUUUUUAAUUCGUUCGGGAAAACGUUAUGUCAAAGAAAGGGGACAUUAAAAAUGCGUUGCUCAGUGAAAGGCUGAGAUGCUCUUCCAGAGAUGCAAUGGUUAAUUAAACAAUUGACGGAAAAAUGUAGUUCGUUCAUUUUAUAAUUUUAAUUAUUUUUGCCCUUGAUAACAAUACCUCUUUUAUAGUGUUGAUUAUCAUAAGAAAAAUAACACUCCUGAUCGUUGGAUCUCUUUUGACAUUUCAAUUGGAUUUUUUUUGACAGCCGUUUUGAUUCAGUCCGCACUACCUAGAUUUACUUGUGUCGCAGAUGUCAAGAUUUGAGUUUUUUGAAAACCGAAAAAUCAAUGAGAUCGGAGUGAUGCCACAUAUCUUAGAAAUGCAUGAAACGUCUAGAUUUUUUUGUUAUUUCGAUAUUUUUUUUGUAAAAAAAUUACUUUUGACACUUGGUUGUUUUUCCGUCUGACAAGUUGAUUUUCGAAAAAAAAAUUCAACUUCUUCACUUUUUUAUAGUUCCGCACAGCUUCAUUUAUCAUCCUUUCAAUACGUACCCUCUCUUCUCUCAUCAGAAGGAAUGUGGACGCGAUACUCCAACGUAAAAUGCUUAUCAGCAACAAUCCCAGUUCUUACAACCUUACAAAUUUCUCGUCAGACUGUUCAUCUUCUUCUUCUUUGUUUUAAAGAGGCUUUAAACUUUCCAGUUCAUUCGCCUCUAACACUGUUCAUGAUUGCAUUCGACUUGCUUAGAGAAUCCGUGGUUAAAAUCGGUUUUCAAGUGAACUCUGUGAAUAUAUGCUUUUCAUGAUCGAGAUGUGAAUCGGUUGCAUGUGUUUUUUUUUCCAGAACGCAAAGUGUAGAUUCAGUUUCAGGUAAAUUAAUGGUAGCAACUUAAAUUAUCUUUGAAGACUAAACAAACCCCAGAAAAUCAGGAUUGAAAAUGCCCAAAAUGGUAUAAAGAUAGCUGGGAUAUGAUCGAGAAGCUCGACUGUACCUGCAGCAAUGUAGCAAACUGAAUUCAAGAUGGGGUAUUGUAUCGAUAUGUAAUACCACUAGUUUCACAUCUGCUAAUGAGGUGAGUAAAUGGAGUGAAAAUUUUCAGUUCCCAUUGAAAUAACCACUGGAGGUCUAUUCGUCGUUCGGGUGAUACGUAUAGUUGGAAAUAAUUCCUUCCAGGUAAAGCAGCAGUUAUAUCUUUCUAUUCACACAAUUGAUUGUUCUAUUUUCUAUUUCAGAAUCGUUGAACCCAGUUGGAACAUCUCUGCCUUUUUCUUGAAUGAAACAUUUACCAGUUCCUAGCCAGUUUUGCAAACAAAUAUUCUCCGAUCACGUUAUUUUCAAGAACUCGAUUGUACCGUACUCUUAUUUACUAAUAAAAAAUCUCGUGUUUCUUUGCACCCACAAACCCACCCACCAAACCAUCCCAGGGCGUCUUCAUCUUUAACAUCGUGCAAUGGACCCCGGUCAAAUACCUCGGCUACUCGUAUCCACUCUGGGCGCACUUGUUCGGAUGGUUCACUGCCCUGUCUUCCAUGCUGUGCAUCCCCGGCUACAUGAUCUGGCUGUGGAGAAACACCCCCGGCGAUCGGGCCAACAAAAUCCGACUGAUCGUCAGAAUCGAGGACAGCGUUAGCCAGCUACGAGAAAGAAUGCAAUCCGAUCAGGAAAAAGCCAUGGAGCUGUAAGCUCCAGCUCCAGCUCCAGUUCACCAGCAGUGUUUUCCACCCCUUUCCCCACAGCGAACAAACCGGGUGAGACGAACUUCUCGUGCGACACGAUCUUAAACGCGACAACCGACGAAAAGCUUGUUUCCUGUAGUAUCCUACCUCUACUAGUGGUCUACCUUGAAAACACACGCACUAUAUACAACCUACAUAAGUUCUACACCGCUUUCACUUUUACACCUACUUCCGGUUUCGGUCCAUAGCGUAAUGUGACGAAUAUUAACUAACUUUAUGAUAUAUUGUAACGAGUUGAAUGAGUUCUUAUUUAUUUAGUACCUAUUUUGCGACAUAAAACAUUCCCAUGUUAGAGUUUAACAGAAAAAAAAACAGAAAAGCGAAGAGCGAUUCCGCUGGCGAUUAGUUAAUUCACACAAACAUACUACCUAAUAAUAAUUGAUAAUAAUAAUACUUCUAAUUAAUGAUAGCAUUAACGCUAGCGCUGCUUACAUUGUACGUGUCUUUAGUUGAUAAGAGGAUUUAAGCGGAGAUGUCUCUCGGUUGGCGGCGAAACAUAUUUAGACAAAAGCACCCUCGAAAAUCGGAAUCACAAUCACAACAAGCAAACAUCUACAGCACAGCAUUUUUGAUUUCUUACAGAGAAGACAUAAAUUGAGUGUGGAAAAAAGAACAGAAAAGACAGUGUAUUCUAAGCCAUUGUCAGUAACGAAUAAAAUGUGAUUUGUAAGAAAAAAA